CGAAGGAUGCAAGCGUUAUCCGGAUUCAUUGGGUUUAAAGGGAGCGUAGGCGGACUUGUAAGUCAGUGGUGAAAUCUUUGGGCUUAACCCAGAAACUGCCAUUGAUACUGCAGGUCUAGAGUACAGUUGCCGUUGGCGGAAUAUGACAUGUAGUGGUGAAAUACUUAGAUAUGUCAUAGAACACCGAUUGCGAAGGCAGCUAACGAAGCUGUAACUGACGCUGAGGCUCGAAAGUGCGGGGAUCAAACAGGAUUAGAUACCCUGGUAGUCCGCACUGUAAACGAUGAUCACUCGCUGCUUGAGGGUAACUUUGAGUGGCCAAGCGAAAGCGAUAAGUGAUCCACCUGGGGAGUACGCCGGCAACGGUG
rnacentral:rRNA from 1 species